rnacentral:rRNA from 1 species
CCUACGGGAGGCAGCAGUGGGGAAUAUUGCGCAAUGGGCGAAAGCCUGACGCAGCGACGCCGCGUGAAUGAAGAAGGCUUUCGGGUUGUAAACUUCUUUUCUCAGGGACGAAACAAGUGACGGUACCUGAGGAAUAAGCCACGGCUAACUACGUGCCAGCAGCCGCGGUAAUACGUAGGUGCAAGCGUUCUUCGGUUUUUCCGGGUGUAAAGGGCGUGGAGGCGGGAAAGCAAGUCAGAUGUGAAAACCAUGGGCUCAACCUGUGGACUGCAUUUGAAACUGUUUUUCUUGAGUACUGGAGAGGCAGAGGGAAUUCCUAGUGUAGCGGUGAAAUGCGUAGAUAUUAGGAGGAACACCAGUGGCGAAGGCGGUCUGCUGGACAGCAACUGACGCUGAGGCGCGAAAGCGUGGGGAGCAAACAGGAUUAGAUACCCCAGUAAUC